rnacentral:rRNA from 1 species
UACAGAGGGUGCAAGCGUUAAUCGGAAUUACUGGGCGUAAAGCGUGCGUAGUCGGUUAUCUAAGUCGGAUGUGAAAUCCCCGGGCUCAACCUGGGAAUUGCAUUCGAAACUGAAUAGCUAGAGUUCGGCAGAGGGAAGUGGAAUUUCCGGUGUAGCGGUGAAAUGCGUAGAUAUCGGAAGGAACAUCAGUGGCGAAAGCGACUUCCUGGACCAGAACUGACGAUCAGGCACGAAAGCGUGGGGGGCAAACAGG